GUUAGCUCAGUUGGUUAGAGUGUAGUGCUGAUAAUGCCAAGUUGCAGGUUUGAUUCCCAUAUGGGCCA